UACGGAGGGGGCUAGCGUUGUUCGGAAUUACUGGGCGUAAAGCGCACGUAGGCGGCUUUGUAAGUUAGAGGUGAAAGCCCGGAGCUCAACUCCGGAACUGCCUUUAAAACUGCAUCGCUUGAAUCCAGGAGAGGUGAGUGGAAUUCCGAGUGUAGAGGUGAAAUUCGUAGAUAUUCGGAAGAACACCAGUGGCGAAGGCGGCUCACUGGACUGGUAUUGACGCUGAGGUGCGAAAGCGUGGGGAGCGAACAGG
rnacentral:rRNA from 1 species